rnacentral:lncRNA from 1 species
GGAGUAGUGAAGAGACCAUCAGUUGGUUGUUGAUCUUGCUUCUGGAAGUACAUGAUAGUGGAUUAGAGGACUCCAACUCUCCUUUUCAAAGAAAGCCCAGGUGUUUCCUGGUUGCUUAUUGUGUUGUAAAGAAAAAAUCUUAUACUGUUAAAGAUUUGACUACAAAGUUGGAACCGAGUAUGAAGGUAUUAACUAGCUAACUCAAGCUCUCUUUCCUGAUGGUGAUUGAGUUAGGGAUUGCUGUAAGCUUGCAGGUGAUGAGAAAGUUAGUACCCGUGACCUACUCUCUUCACCUGGGUGGAUAGGUGGUCCAUGAAUGCGAGACCUUGCUGUUGUUUCUUCCCCUGUGUGGUCUAUUCAUUCCUGUUUUUAGGCAAAGGAGCAUUGGAGACAGAUGACUUUGUGAGCAACAAAGUGGACCACUAUAGCCCCGGAGAGAGAGAGAUCUGCCCACCUAGCCCAGCAACUGAGAAGCUGGGUCCUUCAAGCAAGGGAACAACUCACCAUUGGCUUCAUCCCACUUGGAUGUUAGCCUGUGCCUGUCCAUAUGGAAGUGUCAACAGAGCAGAAUAAUCCCCUCUAAAGAAAAAGCAGCUGCUGCCUGGUCCCUGGACUUCUCUGCUGGGCCCUCAGGGCUCUGCUGGCUCUGAGGGUUCUUGGGGGGGAUGGAGGGGACAGCUGUUCCAGUGACAGGAGAGAGCAGGCAAGUUCUUGGAGCCUCCAGGGCUCUCUUGGUGAGCUGUGAUUUAUGGCAGCCCACUUAUCCCCAAAAUGCCUUUCCUUCUAGGGUCCAGGGAGAUGGCUCCUGCCUUCGUGUUGUAGCAGUCAGAGGUAUUUGGUUGUAUCUUUUGGUGUGCCCUUCACACUGGUGUUCCUGACUUGCAUUUGGGGCUACUGUUUUCUCUGAAGUCCACUUUUCAUCUUAUCAAUGACUGGGGGUGAAGGUGAGGUGUGAAAACAACAUUUUCAUGUAAGAUUUCCUACCAAACUUUCUGCUCCACGUUAUUUUUAUUUCUGUAGUAUCAGGAAAGGCCUCUUCAAGGAGGGGACAUUGAAGCUGACCAUUGAAGGGACCUGGACAAUCAAUGAAGUGGGGAUGAAGAGGAGAGGUGUGGCAGGUCUGAUUUCCAGGCUUACUCUCACACUUAGUGAGUGGGACACCGAUGAGAAUUCAGUCAAUAAGCCACUGGGCCAGAGUCAGCAGGGUAGAAAAAACCAGGGAGAAUGGAGGAGAACUGAAUGGUCAACAGUAGCAAACAUUAAUCUGUUUUGAAAAAGGCUACACCUUCUCAGGAAGAACUAAGGAGGAAGUAUAUUCUUUUUUUUUAAUAUAUUUCAAGC